UCCGGUUGAUCCUGCCGGAGGCCACUGCUAUCGGGGUUCGAUUAAGCCAUGCGAGUCGAGAGGUGCAAGACCUCGGCAUACUGCUCAGUAACACGUGGACAACCUACCCUAAGGAGGGGGAUAACCCCGGAAAACUGGGGAUAAUACCCCAUAGACUACAGAAGCUGGAAUGCUCUGUAAUUGAAAGGUCCGCCGCCUUAGGAUGGGUCUGCGGCUGAUUAGGUUGUUGUUGGGGUAACGGCCCAACAAGCCUGUAAUCAGUACGGGUUGUGGGAGCAAGAACCCGGAGAUGGAUUCUGAGACACGAAUCCAGGCCCUACGGGGCGCAGCAGGCGCGAAAACUUUACAAUGCGGGAAACCGUGAUAAGGGAACCCCGAGUGCCCGUAAAUUCGGGCUGUUAACCUGUUUAAAAAGCAGGUGGAGAAAGGGCCGGGCAAGACCGGUGCCAGCCGCCGCGGUAAUACCGGCGGCUCGAGUGGUGGCCACUAUUACUGGGCUUAAAGCGUCCGUAGCUGGAUUGUUAAGUCUCUUGGGAAAUCUACCGGCUUAACCGAUAGGCGUUCAAGGGAUACUGGCAAUCUAGGGACCGGGAGAGGUGAGAGGUACUCCAGGGGUAGGAGUGAAAUCCUGUAAUCCUUGGGGGACCACCUGUGGCGAAGGCGUCUCACCAGAACGGCUCCGACAGUGAGGGACGAAAGCUGGGGGAGCAGACCGGAUUAGAUACCCGGGUAGUCCCAGCUGUAAACGAUGCGCGUUAGGUGUAUCGGUGACCACGAGUCACCGAGGUGCCGAAGAGAAAUCGUGAAACGUGCCGUCUGGGAAGUACGGUCGCAAGGCUGAAACUUAAAGGAAUUGGCGGGGGAGCACCACAGCGGGUGGAGCCUGCGGUUUAAUCGGACUCAACGCCGGAAAGCUCACCAGAUAAGACAGCGGAAUGAUAGCCGGGCUGAAGACUCUGCUUGACUAGCUGAGAGGAGGUGCAUGGCCGUCGUCAGUUCGUACUGUGAAGCAUCCUGUUAAGUCAGGCAACGAGCGAGACCCA
rnacentral:rRNA from 1 species